GGCAGAACCAGCCCUCAGGGCACUGCUGCAAAGCCCACUGGCAAUUUCACAGCGAUUGAGCAAAUCUUGGUAUCUCAGGUGACCCCACAGGAGAGCCAAGAGGGCACAGGGGGUAGGUUUCAUGUCUGGAAGUUUUCCUGCUUCCCCAUGCAAACAGCUCUGAGGAAGAUGUCUCUUUCUGCAAUCAAUCAUUUUCAUUCUGCAGUAAAUAGCUCUGACAUCAGCUACCAUUGUAUUGUUGGUGUAAAGGCAGCACAACAGAGCCCUACCAUAUUGUGAGCCCUGCAGUUUACAGCCCAUACUUCUCACACUGCCUCCCUGACAGACAAACAAGAGAUGAAGCUAUUUGGAGAGCAAGCCUGUGCUCUGCAGACAUGAAAACCCUGACACUCGUAUCUAUGUGGGCUGGCCUUUGUCUGUGAGGAGCUUGCAGGAGCUGAAUAUACCUAGGAAAGGGGCAUGCAGAAGGGGAGAGAGGUCUUCUUCUGGUGGGCUGCCAUGUCACUCAGGCUGCUUUCAUGGAGAUACCCAGGGGACACCGCUGAUGCAGCCAGCUGUGAUAAUACUUUCAGUGGGAACAGGUGCUGGGGGAUAAUCCUGCUGUUUUUCCUGGUUAUGGUUCUCUCCAGUCACUAAGACAGAGCAAACAGGAUUAUCACAGCAGCGACUCAGGAGGUGAAGGUUUUGGUGCUGCGUGCCUGGGGCUCUGGUGACAUUUGUUUCCCAGGGAGGUGCUGGCUCUGCAGAGCGGCCUGUCCUGCUGGGGGCAGCCAGGUGGGCUGGGCUGGCUGCUCCCCAGGCUCUCACUCAGACCUCCUCAGGGAUGAGGGCUGAAUCCCAGAUGGAAAGCUGCUGCUCUCUACAGCUCUCCCAGGAAGAUGCCUUCCCCAGAAUCCCAGACAGUGUGGGAUGGAGACUGCCCAGCUCUGCAUUGUCCCAAAUCCUAGCAGGAGCUGGGGGAGGAUGAGGGGUGGUAGCUCUGUUUGAGCUGCCAGAUUUUCUCUAGCCAGGAAGGUUUGAGGCACUACAGACGCCCUGGGGACUCACAGUGACCCAGCCUGCCCUGACCCUGUGAAACUUCUCUGCCUGAAGCUGUAAGUGCAGGCUCAUGCCUCCAGCAGACCUAAAUGUAUUGCCAGGUUUUGUUUUAAAUCCCUGGUGUGCUGCACUCAUCAAUCCCCUCCCAGCCCAGCUCCACUGCUCUUAGACCAGCCUGCACCCUGGUGACUGUCCUUGCCAUGCAAAGCCAAUGCCUCUCUGCUCCCAUUUCACCACCUUUUGCCCUGCUGAUAACAACCUCUGACCCCCCCUAUGAUUCCCCUCUCCACCACGGAGGAAGAGCACGUGAGGUUCUUGGAAUCAGCCUUCACAGCCUCUGUGCACAAACAACUGCUCCCCGCUGCUGGUUUGCUCCAGGACUUCCCUGAGCCCUGAUUUCAGUAUCAGCACAGCAAUUGAUCCUGGCUUCAUGGUUCUGUGCCAAUCUGGGCCCAAGGCUAUUUUAAAUGGAAAACUGCAAAAUAAACAUAUGUGUACAGCAUGUAGACACUGAACUGCAGGAGGAGGAACCAGGGACGUGCAGGGCUGUUAAAGCUCCAGCUUGCAGUUGUGCUGAUAAGGCAGUUUCCAAGAAAUUGCCCAGCCCUUAAAUUCUAGAAGCUCUCUCUUCCCAGGUCAACAACCUUCUAUGGACUCGAUCCUGGUGUCACUCUACAAGCAAACACAGGCCAGGCUGGACCUUCUGCAGGUGGUACAAAAAAGAGACCCUGUAUUUCUAAGAAGGGGUUCAGGCACCCUCUGGCAUAGGAAACACACAAUGAGAAGCACAUUGGUAACUCUGGUAAUUUGGGAAAGCACAAGAAAAUGUGCUUCAACUUCACUCUUCUUCAGCCAAGCCUCCUCCUUGCCUGAGAGGGGAUGAAGGUGGUGUUAGCUGAGCUGUGCUUCCCUGUGCCAGAAGUGGGCUGCAGUGCUGCCACACUUGGGCUCCCCCCAAGGUCUCCCCUCCUCUGGAGGAGCACCCCGUCAGCUCUGCACCCAUGCUGCUCCAGCACCUGCUCCCCUGCAGCUCCACACCCUGCUUUUGGCCAGCCUUAACUUCAGACAGGAGCAAAGGCUCCUUGGAGAGCAGAUUUUCCACAGCAUCCCUCAGCUCUAUUAGCAAAAAUGUUCAGUGUGGCUCUAGUGGGAGCACAGGCAGGGCUGACUGGACCCAGUUUUUUGGCUCCCUCAUUUCUCAGGGAUAUUUUAAAAUAUCUUAUGCAGGUGCAGGAGUUGACACAACAGAGCAUGCACCGUGUUAGAGUCUGUCCAGCUUGUGUGCAAACACCGCUAGUCCCCUUUUCAAACUCUUAGCAGUUGUUUCAUAAACAUAAAGUACUUCACUUAAUUUCCAAACCACGUGGGGUUUCCUCAGCAGGGCCGGUGGUGGAGGACAGGGCACAGCCCCAGGGCCCUGCCAGGGCUGGCAGCAGAGCCAGGCAGAGGCUACCACCUGCUGGCCCCUCCUUGGGGAGUGCUCCUCAGCCCCUCUGCACGGUGCCACUCGCUGCCUGGCAGGAGCCCUGUGUGCAUGGCACAAAGCCCUCUGGCCAGCCCUGUGUCGCUGACAGCUUCACAUGCAAGCCCUGUGAGCAGGGAGGAUGCUUACUCAGUAGCUUUGGGCACCUGACCUGUUUCUCGCUCAUUUUAUGUCUUCCAGAGCCUGUUUCUCUUCCUUGCUGACCCCACAGAACAGGGUCAUCUUUCUGAGCUGAGGCAAAUCGCUAACAUUUUGCUGAAUUGGGGAACCUGUUAUUUCCCCAUUGAAACUUGCUCCUGCCAAAAACCAAAAUGAUUCUUCCAUCAGUCCAUAGAAAGGGGAAUACAAUUCAUGUGUAUGGGAUGGGCACAUGGCUGAGUUUGUGUGGGAUCCCACGCUUGCACAGGGAGUCUGGAAAGUCUUCAUGGGAAACACCCCUGCAUGUUCAGGGCUCUCCAGGGAGAUGGUGGCAGUGUGUGGCCUCGGCUCUGCCAUGCAGCGUCACCAUGCACUGUGACCUGCAGUGCCACCCUGCAGAGCCACCCUGCAGUGUCACCAUGCAUUUGCACGGUGCAGUGUCACCAUGCACUGUCACCUGCAGUGCCACCUUGCAGUGUCACUGUACAGUGUCACCAUGGAGUGUCACCAUGCACUGCCACCGUGCAGUGUCACCUGCAGUGCCACCUUGCAGUAUCACUGUGCAGUGUCACCAUGCACUGCCACCAUGCAGUGUCACCUGCAGUGUCUCCCUGCAGGCAGCACUCACGAGCAGCCAGGUCAGGUCAGAGGGCUGCUGCAUUUGUGGGGGUGCAGAGCCUGGCUGGGCAAUCCAGGAAACCCAGGGUCGUGUUUGUCCCACUCAGAUGAGUUCUGUAGCUGACCCCGAUCCUGCAGCCUUGAGGGCACCUUUUCUGGAUGGGCACUUUGUGGAUCUUGCAGUUCUGAGCUCUCACUGCUGCCAGCUCCUCCAAGGGGCUCGUGAUGUUGCAGCAUGUGCUUUUCUGGGGCAGAGACUGGUUUUGCACCAAGCUCACUGAAUGCCAUUGACACAGUUUCUUGAUUGAGCCUUUUAUGUUUGAG